rnacentral:rRNA from 1 species
AUGGACAACGCACGCGUACGCCGCCGCCGCGACGGCGCCGAGAUCGGGGACGACGCCGUCCGCGAGGUCCUGGCGCGGCUGCCGGGCCUGCGGGAACUCCUGCGCUGCGCGGCCACGUGCAAGCACUGGCGCCGCCUCGUCCUCGACCGGGCCUUCCUCCGCCGCCUCGGCCUCUGGCCGGACACGGCGCGCCGCCCCUGCAUCCUCGCCGGGGUCUUCUCCCAGAUGUGCUACUCCCGCGACGACUCGAGGGACGAGGGCAGCCUCUACGCGCCUCCGCGCUUCAUCAACCUCCAGGACGGCCUCGACGACGUGCGUCAUCCUCCCCGUGCCUUCUACUCGUUCGUCACCAUCGACGGCGACGACCGCGGGCUCUUCCAUCUCGCGAGGCCACUGGCGGCGCGCCGCGGCUUCCUCCUCGCGCGCCUCCUGCAGCCGUAUUCGCCCGGCAACCGCGGCGUCGGGCCCAACAAGCUCCACCUGGCUGUGUGCCGUCCUCUCCUCGACAGGAGGAGCACGCAUCUCCUCCCGCCGCCUCCCUUCAACAUGGACGACUACUUGGACAACAAUCUGAUAGGCUGCGCGAUCGUCACCGCCGCAGACCACGCCGCCACCACCGCCGGCGAUGCUAGUUUGCUUCCGGUGGACGUGGACCACAAGCAGCAGCAGGAUCAGCAAUCCGCGUUUCAAGUUUUAUUGAUGUACAAGGACAACAACGACGGCUUUGCGUACGCCUGCGCCUACUCCUCGGCCGCGCCCGGCGGUGGUGGUGGUUGGACUGCUCCGGUCAAGUCCUACCUGGCUUCCCGGUACACCAGGUGCGGCCCACGCGCCGGCCUAGUCGCCCACGGCAUCGUGCACUGGCUGUUCAUGCAUUACCAAAACCAUCAGAUCUACGCCCUUAAGCUAAGCAUGGACACGCUGCACGCCACUUUGACCGAGAUACCCAUCGAAGUGCACCCCACUAUGCCACGGCCGCCAAUCCCAUGCACCGUCGACGGAAGGCUGUCGUUUGUUACCAUAGGAGAAGACGGCGUAGCAGAUCUAUGGACCAAGCAAGAACAAGAUGACGUUGUAGCAGCCAAAGAGAAAGAACAAGAUGACAACGCCUGGCAAAGCUCUCAGCUGACGAGCCUGGGGAGCGAGAGAAUAAGCUCGGUCUUCUUUGCAGAGACCAGAGGUGCUUUGCUCGUCGAACAACAUGGCGGUGCCCUCUCUAUCGUCGACCUCAAGAGCAAGGAGAAGUCGCCGAUGCAUCUAAAGGACGAAACAAGCGAGCAGCAUUCGAGGGGCACGUGUCGGUUCCUAGAGUCGUGCAGCAGUAGCUGCUGCCGCGGAUACAGCCAUGGAUACAGAGGCACCACAUGCCUACAAGCACCCCCGGUGCUCUAUGAGAUGGAUUGGGACGUCUUUCCGUCGACCGACCCUUGUCUCUCUCUCUCCUCAGGUGAGAGGUGA